AUGGCACAUAAUAGAGCCCCCGACCCAGAUAAUAUACCUGUUGAAUUCUAUCAGGUGUGCUGGGAUAUAGUUAAAGAUGAUAUUAUGAGGCUUUUUGAGAGUUUUCACAAAGGGACUUUGGAUGUGCAACGUCUCAAUUAUGGUGUGAUUACUCUUUUACCCAAAACUGCUGGCGCGCAUAAAAUCCAGCAAUUUAGACCUAUAUGUCUCCUGAGAUGUCCAUAUAAGCUUACCGCUAAAGUUUUGGAUCGGCGAGUGGAGAGGUACGCUGAUAAGCUCAUUAGCUCGACCCAGAAUGCUUUUGUUAAGGGGAGAAGCAUUAUGGACGGGGUGCUGUCGCUCCAUGACAUUUUAAACUAUACUCAUGUGAAAAAGAGGGUGAGGGUUGUCCUGAAGUUAGACUUUGAAAAGGCAUACGAUAAAGUGAACUGGGACUUUCUAUUGGAAUGUCACAAGCUUCGAGGCUUUAGUGACACGUGGUGCGGCUGGAUUAAGCAGAUCUUGCACAACGGUAUAGUGAGUAUCAAACUCAAUAACCAGGUUGGUCCAUAUUUCCAGAGUGCUAAGGGCAUUAGACAAGGGGACCCCCCACUCCCCUUUCCUUUUCAACCUAGCAGCUGA
rnacentral:rRNA from 1 species